UAAUAAUAAUAAUAAUAAUGGCAGUGGUUAUGGUGCCCGGUGGGCGUGGCUGGCAGUCUGUGUGACCCGGAUUACCUGAGACAAUCAGUGGGUGUAUUAACCAAGCAGGGCAUCACAUCUCCCAGCAGCGGAAACUCUUCGUCACUUCCGCCCUGCAAUAGUUGGUAUUCCAGCGUCACUUCCGCCCUUCAGUAGGUGGAAAACAUCCAUCACUUCCGCCCUGUAGUGGGUAAAAAAAGUUUGUCACUUCCGCCCUGUAUUUUCGUCACUUCCGCCCCUCUGUGGGCG